CGCCAUCAUCAAGAGAAGGGCUGGCGCCCUCGCCAACCUGCCGUCCGGGCAAGGUGGUUUCCGCAACAGGGAUGCGGCCGGUCAGACCCUCUACCGAGGUUUUCCGGCAACGAAGCGGUUAAU
rnacentral:ncRNA from 3 species